UGCAGCCUCUUAUCAUAGCACAGCCUCAUCUUUCAACAUUGUUUUUAAGAUGGAUUGAAACCUGUCGUAGUCCUCUUCUUGUCUGCUAUAUAUCAAAUAAAGGAUGUAGGGAACAUUGUUUGUGUCCAAGUAUACAGGUUGGUACCAUUUACAUGUGCUUUGAGUAGGAAGACAAACCCAUGUGGUUUCUCACAAGCUAGUGUUCUUACUUGGAUCCCAUCUCAGUUCCUCUUCACCAAUCAUUUCAUGUAGCUGAUGGUUUUCUACAUACCAUUUCUUCAUCUAUAUAUACACACAUGAUUAGCUUUAUUAGCAAAAUCAACUCCUCUCCUUUCAAGCAUCAAAUUAAGCUUUCUCUGCUUCCCAAGUCCUUUGAAUUCUUUUCUUCCUUCUUUAAUCAUUUAUCUAGAAACCAUGGGUUUCCAAUUGCCACGAAUCGCUAGCACAAAGACAUCAGCUAUCCCGAAAGGCUGCUUUGCAGUCUAUGUUGGAAAGAA